rnacentral:rRNA from 1 species
AGCAGCCGCGGUAAUUCCAGCUCCAAUAGCGUAUAUUAAAGUUGUUGCAGUUAAAAAGCUCGUAGUUGAAUUUCGGGAUCAGUACGCUGGUCGUGCCUUCGGUAUGCACUGGUUUCACUGAUUCCUCCCUUCUGAAGAACCGUAAUGCCAUUCAGUUGGUGUGGCGGGGAAUCAGGAUUGUUACUUUGAAAAAAUUAGAGUGUUUAAAGCAGGCUCGCGCUUGAAUACAUUAGCAUGGAAUAAUGAAAUAGGACGUUUGAUCCUAUUUUGUUGGUUUCUAGGAUCGACGUAAUGAUUAAUAGGGAUAGUUGGGGGCAUUAGUAUUCAAUUGUCAGAGGUGAAAUUCUUGGAUUUAUUGAAGACUAACUACUGCGAAAGCAUUCGCCAAGGAUGUUUUCAUUAAUCAAGAACGAAAGUUAGGGGAUCGAAGACGAUCAGAUACCGUCGUAGUCUUAACCAUAAACUAUGCCGACUAGGGAUCGGAUGAUGUUAAUUUUUAAUGACUCAUUC